GUCCUAAUCAACAAUGGCAAAUGGAAACAAUCCUGUUCUGAAAUUACAAAACCCUAACAGUAAAAGGCAUUCGGCAUCCUAAACAAAGUCCAUCGUCGGCGAGAGUCGGAAAUGUUCUCCAUCGAACAAAAUCUUUAAAAACUGAUUUGAGCUGAAGGUUUAGCAGAGUAGAGAUUAACUGAUUCCAUUUCUCUUAUCCAAGUUUAGAGGAUUUUAAUC